UACGUAGGGUGCAAGCGUUGUCCGGAAUUAUUGGGGGUAAAGAGCUCGUAGGCGGUCUGUCACGUCGGCUGUGAAAUCCCGAGGCUCAACCUCGGGUCUGCAGUCGAUACGGGCAAACUAGAGUAUUGCAGGGGAGACUGGAAUUCCUGGUGUAGCGGUGAAAUGCGCAGAUAUCAGGAGGAACACCGGUGGCGAAGGCGGGUCUCUGGGCAAUAACUGACGCUGAGGAGCGAAAGCGUGGGGAGCGAACAGG
rnacentral:rRNA from 1 species